rnacentral:rRNA from 1 species
GAUGAACGCUGGCGGCGUGCCUAAUACAUGCAAGUCGAGCGAACAGACGAGGAGCUUGCUCCUCUGACGUUAGCGGCGGACGGGUGAGUAACACGUGGAUAACCUACCUAUAAGACUGGGAUAACUUCGGGAAACCGGAGCUAAUUCCGGAUAAUAUAUUGAACCGCAUGGUUCAAUAGUGAAAGACGGUUUUGCUGUCACUUAUAGAUGGAUCCGCGCCGCAUUAGCUAGUUGGUAAGGUAACGGCUUACCAAGGCAACGAUGCGUAGCUGACCUGAGAGGGUGAUCGGCCACACUGGAACUGAGACACGGUCCAGACUCCUACGGGAGGCAGCAGUAGGGAAUCUUCCGCAAUGGGCGAAAGCCUGACGGAGCAACGCCGCGUGAGUGAUGAAGGUCUUCGGAUCGUAAAACUCUGUUAUUAGGGAAGAACAAAUGUGUAAGUAACUAUGCACGUCUUGACGGUACCUAAUCAGAAAGCCACGGCUAACUACGUG